CACGUAGGGUGCGAGCGUUGUCCGGAAUUAUUGGGCGUAAAGAGCUCGUAGGUGGUCUGUCGCGUCGGCUGUGAAAACUCGGGGCUCAACCCCGAGCCUGCAGUCGAUACGGGCAGACUCGAGUGCGGUAGGGGAGACUGGAAUUCCUGGUGUAGCGGUGAAAUGCGCAGAUAUCGGGAAGAACACCCGUGGCGAAGGCGGCUCUCUGGGACGGUACUGACGCUGAGACGCGAAAGCGUGGGGAGCGAACAGG
rnacentral:rRNA from 1 species